GACGAACGCUGGCGGCGUGCUUAACACAUGCAAGUCGAACGGAAAGGCCCUGCUUUUGUGGGGUGCUCGAGUGGCGAACGGGUGAGUAACACGUGAGUAACCUGCCCUUGACUUUGGGAUAACUUCAGGAAACUGGGGCUAAUACCGGAUAGGAGCUCCUGCUGCAUGGUGGGGGUUGGAAAGUUUCGGCGGUUGGGGAUGGACUCGCGGCUUAUCAGCUUGUUGGUGGGGUAGUGGCUUACCAAGGCUUUGACGGGUAGCCGGCCUGAGAGGGUGACCGGCCACAUUGGGACUGAGGUACGGCCCAGACUCCUACGGGAGGCAGCCGUGGGGAAUAUUGCACAAUGGGCGGAAGCCUGAUGCAGCAACGCCGCGUGCGGGAUGACGGCCUUCGGGUUGUAAACCGCUUUCGCCUGUGACGAAGCGUGAGUGACGGUAAUGGGUAAAGAAGCACCGGCUAACUACGUG
rnacentral:rRNA from 1 species